rnacentral:lncRNA from 1 species
AUUUCUGUACCUAUGGGCAUAGGAAAACUCGCUAUCUAGAAAUUCAAUCCACUAUCUUAUUCCAGUCAACAUUCAGAAAAUUAAUUUAUUUGACUGCAAUAAAUAAUCAAACUUUAAUUCAAUAUCACUAAUAGCUUAUAUAUUUUUCAUUAUCUAUAGGAUGCUGUGGCUAUUCCUGAGCAUAAUGAAAAAUACAAAUAACUUUAAUUCAAUAUCAGUAAUACCUUAUAUAUUUUUCAUUAUCUAUAGGAUGCUGUGGCUACUCCUGAGCAUAAUGAAAAAUACA